UGAAAGUUUGAUUCUAGCUUUAGAUUUAAAUUCAAUAUUAUUUUACAUAUAAAUAUUUAUAUAAUAUAUUAGUUCUAAAUGAAUAUUUUUAUAUUGUAGUAUUUAAUAUUAUAUAUUAAUAUAUUUAGAUAUAGUAAUUAUUUAAAGAAUAAACAAAAUUCGUGCCAGCAGUUGCGGUUAUACGAUUUAUUCAAUUUAAAUUUAAAAGUUUCAGUUAUAAUUAAAUUUGAUCUAUUACCUUAAUAAUUUUGGUGAAAUAUAAUUUCAUUAAGGAUUCAAAAUUUUUGUCUGAGAAACUUUUCUAUUAAACUAGGAUUAGAUACCCUAUUAUUAAAAGUGUUAAAUUAAUAGCUUGAUUACUAAUAGUUAAGAUCUCUAAAUUCAAAGAAUUUGGCGGUAAUUUAUCUUUUCAGAGGAACCUGUUCUAUAAUUGAUAAUCCACGAUAGAAUUUACUUUAUCUUGACUUGUAUAUCUCUGUCAAGAAUGUUCUAUAAAGAUAUUUUCGUUUUUUGAAUUUAAAUAAUGUCAGGUCAAGGUGCAGUUUUUCAUAAAGUAGAAAUGGGUUACAUUUUAAUAAUAUUAGAUAUUAUUUUAAUUAGAAUAUUAAUAAAUUGGAUUUGAUAGUAAGUUAAUUAAAUUAAAUUAUUUGAAUUUAGCCCUGAAUUAUGUACACAUCGCCCGUCACUCUCAUUUUAAAAUGAGAUAAGUCGUAACAAAGUAGUUGUACCGGAAGGUGUAGCUAGAAUGU
rnacentral:ncRNA from 1 species